UUGAUCAAUGUCCUGAUGUGGGAGCUUGAGAAGAAGUCCGCUGUGGCUGAUAAGCAUGAAUUGCUCAGUCUUGCUAGCAGCAAUCACUUGGGGAAGAAUCUGCAGUUGCUGAUGGACCGGGUGGAUGAAAUGAGUCAGGACAUAAUCAAAUACAACACAUACAUGAGGAACAGCAGUAAGCAGCAGCAGCAGAAACACCAGUAUCAGCAGCGUCGCCAGCAGGAGAAUAUGCAGCGGCAGAGUCGAGGCGAGCCCCCGCUCCCUGAGGAGGACCUCUCCAAACUCUUCAAGCCCCACCAAGCCCCUGCCAGGAUGGACUCGCUGCUCAUGCAGGCCAGAUUAACACUUACUGCCAGAACAUCAAGGAGUUCACUGCCCAAAACUUAGGCAAACUCUUCAUGGCUCAGGCUCUUCAAGAAUACAGUAACUAAGAAAAGGAAGCUUCCUGCAAAGAAGACAGACUGUUGAGACUCCACCAGAGUGACUCUUGGAAAAUGUGUUUCUGUACUGCAAAGUGGAGAGGCGCACUGUGCUCUUAGUGCUGUAAUGGCUUUAUAACCAAUAAUAAAAAGUUACUUGGUUGUUCAAAAAAAAAAAAAAAAAGAAAGAAAGAA
rnacentral:lncRNA from 1 species